AGGUGCAGUGAAUCCAACUUCAGUUACAUUCAGAUAGCGGGAGAACCCGCACACAACCCGCGCCCCUCCUUCCCUCUUCUCUCCCGCAGUGAUUUUACCUCCUGUUAGAAUACCUCUCCCAUUUACACCGAAGACAUUGUUUACGUGGACUUCAUUAACGUUAGGUGAUGAUCUUCAGAGUGAGAGCAGCAGGACGAGGUGUGUCGGUGACGCUACGACCCUUCAUCACAAGGUCAUGUGGGGCUGGAGUCAGGCCUAUCAGCACCACCUGGCCAGCCCACCACGUCACAUCACAGUAUCCAGGUUUUGAGCUGCCCUCUGGCGGUAACCUCACCAGUUACGUCUUAAGGAACUCCUCCAGAUGGGCCGACAAAACUGCUACAGUAGGUGAACCACUUACAGUGUCCUUUCAAGGUCAGUGUAAGGGUAUCCAGUUAAUUAUUUUUAAGGUUGAUUAUUUGUUUUGACUCUUGUAUUUUAGAGUGCAUGGUUGAUAUUGCUGAACACCUAGGAUACAUUUUCUCAAGUAGUAGUAGUAGUAGUAGUAGUAGU